rnacentral:lncRNA from 1 species
UUUACUUAUCAGCAUGAUUCUUCAAGCUACAUUCUAUGGCUAUGCCCCUGGGGAGAGGAACAACGCCAGGACAAGACUGCCAUUCUGGGGGAGAGUUGCUGUGUGACAGAGGACCCUCUUCUAUUAUGAGUGACAGGAUACAGAUAUCAGUUUUUUAGGAAUGAUGGGAUGCUCCAGUUGACUGGUCAGGACCCCAGCCUUUCCAAGUCUCAACACAGAGCAUACGAAAACAGAAAGGACU